rnacentral:rRNA from 1 species
GGGGGGGGGGGGGGGGGGGGUGGGGGGGUGGGGGGCGGGGGGGAGGGCGCUGCGUUGGUGGGGUGCUCGGGGGGGGAACGGGUGGGUAACACGUGAGUAACCUGCCCUUGACUUUGGGGUAACUUCAGGAAACUGGGGCUCAUACCGGAUAGGAGCUCCUGCUGCAUGGUGGGGGUUGGAAAGUUUCGGCGGUUGGGGAUGGACUCGCGGCUUAUCAGCUUGUUGGUGGGGUAGUGGCUUACCAAGGCUUUGACGGGUAGCCGGCCUGAGAGGGUGACCGGCCACAUUGGGACUGAGAUACGGCCCAGACUCCUACGGGAGGCAGCAGUGGGGAAUAUUGCACAAUGGGCGGAAGCCUGAUGCAGCAACGCCGCGUGCGGGAUGACGGCCUUCGGGUUGUAAACCGCUUUCGCCUGUGACGAAGCGUGAGUGACGGUAAUGGGUAAAGAAGCACCGGCUAACUACGUG